AUGGGACUGGUUAAGGCUCCGGUGCCCACUGUCUACGGCUCGAAUUAUGUGCCUGAGCUGACUUACACAACUCCUCCCCGUCAACUGCUUAUUGACCAUGGACGCCCCUUGACCACCAUGGAUGAUGGUCCUCCUCCACACGACGAGACGUCAUCACAGCCUCAAGCCCAGGCAGCAAGAAAUAGUCCGGCCGUUGCUGGGGAAAUGGACGAGUCAAUCCUACGAGAGGAGAACUGUAGGAGUAAGGAGCAGCUGGACUCCCAGGAAUUGUCCAUCCUUCCUCUGCCCCCAGGAACAUAUCGGCUCAUUAAAGCAGACUUCCUGUAUCUUCAGUACAGCAGAGACAGUAUGGGUGACUAGGGACUGUGACUUUUUUUAAAGCACCUACAGGGAACCCAUAAAGACUAUACAUGGGGGCUAGGAGGGAUAUUAUGGAAGAGGUGGGACUUGAGAGGUGACGGACAUCAUAUUCAUGACUUCAGCAAAUAAUACCAUAUCUUAUCCAAGGUUACUUAGUAGUUGACUUUAUUUUAGAAUGUGCUGUGACUCAUAACACUCAAAAGAACGUAGAAAGUGAAGCCACACUAGGAAAAGAGCAAGAUCCUUCUGGAGUCCCAUACGUCUUGUUUUAGAAAUGGAUACCUGACAGCGAUUCACACAUUCAUUGCAACAAAUGGAGAUGGAUAUACAUCGACUUUGUCGACUCUGAACACUUGGAUUCUACUUUUCUGUGCAUCCAGUUGCAGGGUUGUACGUUCUGAUUACCUCCCUGUAGGUGUCAGGGUUACCGCUAUGAAAUACUGAUUAUCAAAAGGCUAUUGGCUAAAUACAGUCACUGUGUUGGUUAAAUUCAUUCACAAUGUUCAUUCACAAAAGCAUUCUAUCACAAUUACUUCAUACAAAAUAUUGCACAGAGUCACAUUACUGCAAUGUGUUUUAAAUGAUAUUUCCAGGGAGGGGGG
rnacentral:lncRNA from 13 species